rnacentral:rRNA from 1 species
GAUGAACGCUGGCGGCGUGCCUAAUACAUGCAAGUCGAGCGAACAGACGAGGAGCUUGCUCCUCUGACGUUAGCGGCGGACGGGUGAGUAACACGUGGAUAACCUACCUAUAAGACUGGGAUAACUUCGGGAAACCGGAGCUAAUACCGGAUAAUAUAUUGAACCGCAUGGUUCAAUAGUGAAAGACGGUUUUGCUGUCACUUAUAGAUGGAUCCGCGCCGCAUUAGCUAGUUGGUAAGGUAACGGCUUACCAAGGCGACGAUGCGUAGCCGACCUGAGAGGGUGAUCGGCCACACUGGAACUGAGGCACGGUCCAGACUCCUACGGGAGGCAGCAGUAGGGAAUCUUCCGCAAAGGGCGAAAGCCUGACGGAGCAACGCCGCGUGAGUGAUGAAGGUCUUCGGAUCGUAAAACUCUGUUAUUAGGGAAGAACAAAUGUGUAAGUAACUAUGCACGUCUUGACGGUACCUAAUCAGAAAGCCACGGCUAACUACGUG